CUCAUAUUGAACCUAGUGAUUUAUGAGUUAGUGGCGGACGGGUGAGUAACGCGUGGAAAACCUGCCGUAUACCGGGGGAUAACACUUAGAAAUAGGUGCUAAUACCGCAUAAGCGCACAGCUUCGCAUGAAGCAGUGUGAAAAACUCCGGUGGUAUACGAUGGUUCCGCGUCUGAUUAGCUAGUUGGCGGGGUAACGGCCCACCAAGGCAGCGAUCAGUAGCCGGCCUGAGAGGGUGAACGGCCACAUUGGGACUGAGACACGGCCCAAACUCCUACGGGAGGCAGCAGUGGGGAAUAUUGCACAAUGGGGGAAACCCUGAUGCAGCGACGCCGCGUGAGUGAAGAAGUAUUUCGGUACGUAAAGCUCUAUCAGCAGGGAAGAAAAUGACGGUACCUGACUAAGAAGCCCCGGCUAACUACGUGCCAGCAGCCGCGGUAAUACGUAGGGGGCAAGCGUUAUCCGGAUUUACUGGGUGUAAAGGGAGCGUAGACGGCAGCGCAAGUCUGGAGUGAAAUGCCGGGGCCCAACCCCGGAACUGCUUUGGAAACUGUGCAGCUUGAGUGCGGGAGAGGUAAGUGGAAUUCCUAGUGUAGCGGUGAAAUGCGUAGAUAUUAGGAGGAACACCAGUGGCGAAGGCGGCUUACUGGACCGUAACUGACGUUGAGGCUCGAAAGCGUGGGGAGCAAACAGGAUUAGAUACCCUGGUAGUCCACGCCGUANACGAUGAUUACUAGGUGU
rnacentral:rRNA from 1 species